GCCUGGGUGGCUCAGUUGGUUAAACAUCUGACUUCAGCUCAGAGUAUGAUCUCACAGUUUGUGGGUUGGAGACCCACUUUAGGCU
rnacentral:tRNA from 1 species